GAAUGAAGUCCGCAUAAUCCAGAGGGAAAUGGUCAGUGACCUGCUACACCACUUAGACACACACACAGGUAUCUGGGGCCAGGUGGGAUCCACCCAAGGGUACUGAGGGAGCUGAACCUGAUGGAGCUUACA